rnacentral:miRNA from 8 species
CUCUAGAGGGAAGCGAUUUCUG